UUGUGAGGUUAAGCGACUAAGCGUACACGGUGGAUGCCCUGGCAGUCAGAGGCGAUGAAGGACGUGCUAAUCUGCGAUAAGCGUCGGUAAGGUGAUAUGAACCGUUAUAACCGGCGAUUUCCGAAUGGGGAAACCCAGUGUGAUUCGUCACACUAUCAUUAACUGAAUCCAUAGGUUAAUGAGGCGAACCGGGGGAACUGAAACAUCUAAGUACCCCGAGGAAAAGAAAUCAACCGAGAUUCCCCCAGUAGCGGCGAGCGAACGGGGAGGAGCCCAGAGCCUGAAUCAGUGUGUGUGUUAGUGGAAGCGUCUGGAAAGGCGCGCGAUACAGGGUGACAGCCCCGUACACAAAAAUGCACAUACUGUGAGCUCGAUGAGUAGGGCGGGACACGUGGUAUCCUGUCUGAAUAUGGGGGGACCAUCCUCCAAGGCUAAAUACUCCUGACUGACCGAUAGUGAACCAGUACCGUGAGGGAAAGGCGAAAAGAACCCCGGCGAGGGGAGUGAAAAAGAACCUGAAACCGUGUACGUACAAGCAGUGGGAGCCUCUUUAUGGGGUGACUGCGUACCUUUUGUAUAAUGGGUCAGCGACUUAUAUUCUGUAGCAAGGUUAACCGAAUAGGGGAGCCGAAGGGAAACCGAGUCUUAACUGGGCGUUAAGUUGCAGGGUAUAGACCCGAAACCCGGUGAUCUAGCCAUGGGCAGGUUGAAGGUUGGGUAACACUAACUGGAGGACCGAACCGACUAAUGUUGAAAAAUUAGCGGAUGACUUGUGGCUGGGGGUGAAAGGCCAAUCAAACCGGGAGAUAGCUGGUUCUCCCCGAAAGCUAUUUAGGUAGCGCCUCGUGAAUUCAUCUCCGGGGGUAGAGCACUGUUUCGGCAAGGGGGUCAUCCCGACUUACCAACCCGAUGCAAACUGCGAAUACCGGAGAAUGUUAUCACGGGAGACACACGGCGGGUGCUAACGUCCGUCGUGAAGAGGGAAACAACCCAGACCGCCAGCUAAGGUCCCAAAGUCAUGGUUAAGUGGGAAACGAUGUGGGAAGGCCCAGACAGCCAGGAUGUUGGCUUAGAAGCAGCCAUCAUUUAAAGAAAGCGUAAUAGCUCACUGGUCGAGUCGGCCUGCGCGGAAGAUGUAACGGGGCUAAACCAUGCACCGAAGCUGCGGCAGCGACACUAUGUGUUGUUGGGUAGGGGAGCGUUCUGUAAGCCUGCGAAGGUGGCCUGUGAGGGUUGCUGGAGGUAUCAGAAGUGCGAAUGCUGACAUAAGUAACGAUAAAGCGGGUGAAAAGCCCGCUCGCCGGAAGACCAAGGGUUCCUGUCCAACGUUAAUCGGGGCAGGGUGAGUCGACCCCUAAGGCGAGGCCGAAAGGCGUAGUCGAUGGGAAACAGGUUAAUAUUCCUGUACUUGGUGUUACUGCGAAGGGGGGACGGAGAAGGCUAUGUUGGCCGGGCGACGGUUGUCCCGGUUUAAGCGUGUAGGCUGGUUUUCCAGGCAAAUCCGGAAAAUCAAGGCUGAGGCGUGAUGACGAGGCACUACGGUGCUGAAGCAACAAAUGCCCUGCUUCCAGGAAAAGCCUCUAAGCAUCAGGUAACAUCAAAUCGUACCCCAAACCGACACAGGUGGUCAGGUAGAGAAUACCAAGGCGCUUGAGAGAACUCGGGUGAAGGAACUAGGCAAAAUGGUGCCGUAACUUCGGGAGAAGGCACGCUGAUAUGUAGGUGAAGUCCCUCGCGGAUGGAGCUGAAAUCAGUCGAAGAUACCAGCUGGCUGCAACUGUUUAUUAAAAACACAGCACUGUGCAAACACGAAAGUGGACGUAUACGGUGUGACGCCUGCCCGGUGCCGGAAGGUUAAUUGAUGGGGUU
rnacentral:rRNA from 1 species